AUUGAACGCUGGCGGCAGGCCUAACACAUGCAAGUCGAGCGGAGCGGCGGACGGGUGAGUAAUGACUAGGAAUAUGCCUGGUAGAGGGGGAUAACGUCCGGAAACGGGCGCGAAUACCGCAUACUAUAAGAUGAGGCUAGGUCGGAGUAGCUAGUUGGUGGGGUAAAGGCCUACCAAGUCGACGAUCCGUAACUGGUCUGAGAGGAUGAUCAGUCACACUGGAACUGUGACACGGUCCAUACUCCUACGUGAGGCAGCAGUGGGGAAUAUUGGACAAUGGGCGAAAGCCUGAUCCAGCCAUGCCGCGUGUGUGAAGAAGGUCUUCGGAUUGUAAAGCUCUUUAAGUUGGGAGGCGUUUCCAACAGAAUAAGCACCGGCUAACUUCGUGCCAGCAGCCUCGGUAAUAC
rnacentral:rRNA from 1 species